rnacentral:misc_RNA from 1 species
GCAGAAUCAUCUCCUGAACAUUGCAAUAAGAAUAAAUAUUAGUUAUGACAUAUCUUUAUUCGACAACUAAUAAAUUGUGAAUAUCAAGAUGGAAUCUCUGAAAUUUCACUUCAAGACAAUAUGCCCAAAGGAAGAAAAGGUCAGGUCAGGCUCAAAAAUAGAGUAGAGAAACAGUAACACAAUACAUUCAUGUGAUAUACAGCAACCAAAAACAAAUGCAAAUGUGAAAUGCACAAAACUCUUGUUUUUUAGAAAAUACAGGUUGAUUUAGUAAUAUCCACAAUCCAGUAACAAAAGAAAAUGACAUUCUGUACAUACCACUAGUUUCUAAAUGCCUCAGCCUGAGUUUGAUCAAGUUGAUUGAAACGAACUACUAUUCUAAGACUAACGGCCAUAACAUUUCAGCUAUAAGUUUUAGAAGGUUGCCUCAAUUACUCUGGUAAUUAUCAAUCCAAACAGUAAGACUAUUUAUCAUUCAUGUCUAUUUCUAUUUCACGUCUCUUUUUUUACGG